CAGACAGACAAAACUUCACACUCUCAAAACUGAGUUACCAACAUCGUAUAACACGUGUAAUGUUAUAAUGUAAUUCUUCGUUAUCCACGCCUCAUUAUCUAUACCGAAACAGUCAAGUUCACGACCUUCGUACAACAGAUCCAAAGACAAUUCGACGUGCACCGUCCAUCCUGUCGCAUUGUCACAGACGGGUAUAAAAGAGAUGUGUGGCGUCACCUGACCACAGUUCUGCAUCACAGUCAUAACAGUAGACAAUAGAUAGACAAAAUGGGAAAAAUAAUGCACCUGCUAUUUUUGGGACUUGUUUUGAGCGCCGUGUUUGCGUUGCCAGAUCACGAUCACAAUGACAGUAGCGGCUCUAACUCGCACGAAGAUGACAGCGGCAGUCAUGAGAGGCGCGGAGACCACGGCGACAGAUACGGAGGAGCUUUCGUCAAAGCAGCCGCUGCCGCGUCCGCUUCCUCUUAUAACUAACGCCACAUCCUUAUGCGCCCGUGUGUGCAAUUUUAGGUAUAUGGGAGAUAAAUAGAAAUAACAUGUCUGAAGAUGUAAUUUACUUUAAUUUUUCGGUCAGGAAACAACUGCAACUGUUUUGUUUUAACAAACGGUUAAUUAAAUGUUCUAAUCAAAGCACUUAUCUACGAUUUACAAGAAAAUUUGUUAAUUAAUGUUAAUAUAUUAUUAUGUGAGUAUAUUAUGUAAUAAAGGGUAUAUGUA
rnacentral:lncRNA from 1 species